UGAGUAAAGAAGGCCUUCGGGGUGGAUAACUCGGUGGUGAGAAAAGAUUGUUCGGCAAAGUAACGUUCCGCUGAACGGAUUCCAACCGGAAGCCAGGCUAAUACGUGCAGCAGCCGCGUAUUACGUAGGUGCAAGGUUUUCGGAUUUAUGGCGUAAGCGAGGGCAGCGGUUUUUAGUCGGAUGUGAAGCCCUCCGCCUAACCGAGAAGCGCAUCGGAACUGGAACCUGAGUGCAGAAGAGGACAGUGGAACUCCAUGUGUAGCGGUGAAUGCGUAGAUAUAUGGAAGAAACACAGUGGCGAAGGCGGCUGUCUGGUCUGUAACUGACGCUGAGGCUCGAAAGCAUGGGUAGCGAACAGGAUUAGAUACCCUGGUAGUCCAUGCCGUAAACGAUGAAUGCUAGGUGUUGGAGGGUUUCCGCCCUUCAGUGCCGCAGCUAACGCAUUAAGCAUUCCGCCUGGGGAGUACGACCGCAAGGUUGAAACUCAAAGGAAUUGACGGGGGCCCGCACAAGCGGUGGAGCAUGUGGUUUAAUUCGAAGCAACGCCAAGAACCUUACCAGGUCUUGACAUCUUUUGAUCACCUGAGAGAUCAGGUUUCCCCUUCGGGGGCAAAAUGACAGGUGGUGCAUGGUUGUCGUCAGCUCGUGUCGUGAGAUGUUGGGUUAAGUCCCGCAACGAGCGCAACCCUUAUGACUAGUUGCCAGCAUUUAGUUGGGACUCUAGUAAGACUGCCGGUGACAAACCGGAGGAAGGUGGGGAUGACGUCAAAUCAUGCCCCUUAUGACCUGGGCUACACACGUGCUACAAUGGAUGGUACAACGAGUUGCGAGACCGCGAGGUCAAGCUAAUCUCUUAAAGCCAUUCUCAGUUCGGACUGUAGGCUGCAACUCGCCUACACGAAGUCGGAAUCGCUAGUAAUCGCGGAUCAGCACGCCGCGGUGAAUACGUUCCCGGGCCUUGUACACACCGCCCGUCACACCAUGAGAGUUUGUAACACCCGAAGCCGGUGGCGUAACCCUUUUAGGGAGCGAGCCGUCUAAGGUGGGACAAAUGAUUAGGGUGAAGUCGUAACAAGGUAGCCGUAAU
rnacentral:rRNA from 2 species